rnacentral:rRNA from 1 species
UAAUACAUGCUAAAAACCCCAACUUCGGGAGGGGUGUAUUUAUUAGAUAAAAAACCAAUGCCCUUCGGGGCUCUUUGGUGAUUCAUGAUAACUUAACGGAUCGCAUGGCCUUGCGCCGGCGACGGUUCAUUCAAAUUUCUGCCCUAUCAACUUUCGAUGGUAAGGUAUUGGCUUACCAUGGUUUCAACGGGUAACGGGGAAUUAGGGUUCGAUUCCGGAGAGGGAGCCUGAGAAACGGCUACCACAUCCAAGGAAGGCAGCAGGCGCGCAAAUUACCCAAUCCCGACACGGGGAGGUAGUGACAAUAAAUACUGAUACAGGGCUCUUUUGGGUCUUGUAAUCGGAAUGAGUACAAUUUAAACCCCUUAACGAGGAACAAUUGGAGGGCAAGUCUGGUGCCAGCAGCCGCGGUAAUUCCAGCUCCAAUAGCGUAUAUUAAAGUUGUUGCAGUUAAAAAGCUCGUAGUUGAACCUUGGGCCUGGCUGGCCGGUCCGCCUCACCGCGUGUACUGGUCCGGCCGGGCCUUUCCUUCUGGAGAGCCCCAUGCCCUUCACUGGGUGUGCGGGGGAACCAGGACUUUUACUUUGAAAAAAUUAGAGUGUUCAAAGCAGGCCUUUGCUCGAAUACGUUAGCAUGGAAUAAUAGAAUAGGACGUGCGGUCCUAUUUUGUUGGUUUCUAGGACCGCCGUAAUGAUUAAUAGGGACAGUCGGGGGCAUCAGUAUUCAAUUGUCAGAGGUGAAAUUCUUGGAUUUAUUGAAGACUAACUACUGCGAAAGCAUUUGCCAAGGAUGUUUUCAUUAAUCAGUGAACGAAAGUUAGGGGAUCGAAGACGAUCAGAUACCGUCGUAGUCUUAACCGUAAACUAUGCCGACUAGGGAUCGGGCGAUGUUUCUAUCUUGACUCGCUCGGCACCUCACGAGAAAUCAAAG